CACGUAGGGCGCAAGCGUUGUCCGGAAUUAUUGGGCGUAAAGAGCUCGUAGGCGGUCUGUUGCGUCCGCUGUGAAAACGCGGGGCUUAACCCCGAGCCUGCAGUGGAUACGGGCAGACUAGAGGUAGGUAGGGGAGAAUGGAAUUCCCGGUGUAGCGGUGAAAUGCGCAGAUAUCGGGAGGAACACCGGUGGCGAAGGCGGUUCUCUGGGCCUUACCUGACGCUGAGGAGCGAAAGCGUGGGGAGCGAACAGG
rnacentral:rRNA from 1 species